CAAACCCGUCAGUGAUGACGGGUUGAACUGUAAGAAGUCAGCAGAGGCCAUAGUAGUCCGUCAGGACGAAGGGC
rfam:Bacillus sp. VT-16-64 NODE_38, whole genome shotgun sequence.